rnacentral:rRNA from 1 species
GAUGAACGCUAGCUACAGGCUUAACACAUGCAAGUCGAGGGACCGGCGCACGGGUGAGUAACACGUAUCCAACCUGCCCUUUACUCGGGGAUAGCCUUUCGAAAGAAAUAUUAAUACCCGAUAUAAUGGCUGGGGAUGCGUUCCAUUAGGUUGUUGGUAAGGUAACGGCCCACCAAGCCUUCGAUGGAUAGGGGUUCUGAGAGGAAGGUCCCCCACAUGUGAAAUGGGACACAGUCCAAACUCCUACGGGGGGCAGGAGUGAGGAAUAGUGGGCAAUGGGCGUUAGCCUGAACCAGCCAAGUAGCGUGAAGGAUGAAGGGUUAUGGGUCGUAAACUUCUUUUAUAUAAGAAUAUGUAUUAUAUGAAUAAGGAUCGGCUAACUCCGUGCCAGCAGCCGCGGUAAUAC